rnacentral:rRNA from 1 species
UUCCGGUUGAUCCCGCCGGACCCCACUGCUAUCGAGGUGGGACUAAGCCAUGCUAGUUGAGCGCACAGAACUAUGUCUGUGAGCGGCACACUGCUCAGUAACACGUAGCUAACCUACCCUUAGGACGUGGACAACCCCGAGAAAUUGGGGCUAAUCCGCGAUAGAUGUAAUGUCCUGGAAUGGUAUUACGUCCAAAGGUAUCCCAUACAUGUUUGGUAUACGCCUAAGGAUGGGGCUGCGGCCGAUCAGGCUGUUGGUGAGGUAAUGGCUCACCAAACCUUUGACCGGUACGGGCCAUGAGAGUGGUAGCCCGGAGAUGGACACUGAGACAAGGGUCCAGGCCCUACGGGGCGCAGCAGGCGCGAAACCUCCUCAAUGCACUUACGUGCGAAGGGGCUACCUCGAGUGCCACCUGAUGAAGGUGGCUUUUCCUAGGUCUAAAAAGCCUUGGGAAUAAGAGGGGGGCAAGACUGGUGUCAGCCGCCGCGGUAACACCAGCCCCUCGAGUGGUGGGGAUGAUUAUUGGGCCUAAAGCGUCCGUAGCCUGCCGUGUAAGUUUCCCGUUAAAUCCAGCGUCUUAAGCGUUGGACUGCGGGAAAUAC